rnacentral:tRNA from 1 species
GGGCAGGUGGCGAAAUUGGCUAGACGCGCCAGCCUUAGGAGCUGGUGGAGCAAUCCAUGGGAGUUCAAGUCUCCCCCUGCCCA